GUGCUUGCUUCAGCAGCACAGAUAAAGCACUGUAAUGAUACACAGAAGAUUGGGAUGGCCCCUGCACAAGGAUGAAACACAUUCAUGAAGCGAUCUAUGCAGCA
rnacentral:snRNA from 1 species